rnacentral:piRNA from 1 species
UUGAUUGGCAUGUACUCAAGU